GCCACUGACGGUAAAAAGGCUUUUCUCCCUCAAUCUUACCGAAGACCAUUUAACAUGUCAUGGAGAGAUGAGCGAAACAAAGAGAAGGCAUUAUGUGACAGCAAGUCAUAUAAGCCUGGAAGGGAGUACUCUAGACCCUCACAAUGGAGGUUUCAACAAUCCACCUCCUCCUCCAUUAGAGCAUCCAGAGGAAGAGGAUUCAGACAAACUCCUAAAACUUUAUGAAGGUUGGGUCACCCAGACCGGAAUAGUAGGAGGCCGUCUAAAACUGUUCUUUCCUGUCUGGGCAGAGUUCAUCAAGG